AAUCAACGCUGGCGGCAGGCCUAACACAUGCAAGUCGAGCGGCCGUAGCAAUACGGCAGCGGCAGACGGGAGAGUAACACGUGGGAACGCGCCCUUCGGUUCGGGAUAACUCAGGGAAACUUGGGCUAAUACCGGAUACGCCCUUAUGGGGAAAGAUUUAUUGCCGAAGGAACGGCCCGCGUCCGAUUAGCUUGUUGGUGAGGUAACGGCUCACCAAGGCGACGAUCGGUAGCUGGUCUGAGAGGAUGACCAGCCUCACUGGGACUGAGACACGGCCCAGACUCCUACGGGAGGCAGCAGUGGGGAAUAUUGGACAAUGGGCGCGAGCCUGAUCCAGCCAUGCCGCGUGGGUGAUGAAGGCCCUAGGGUUGUAAAGCCCUUUCAGCGGGGAAGAUAAUGACGGUACCCGCAGAAGAAGCCCCGGCUAACUUCGUGCCAGCCGCCGCAGUAAAAC
rnacentral:rRNA from 1 species